rnacentral:rRNA from 1 species
UUGUCUCAAAGAUUAAGCCAUGCAUGUCUCAGUACAAGCCGAAUUAAGGUGAAACCGCGAAAGGCUCAUUAAAUCAGUUAUGGUUCCUUAGAUCGUACCCACAUUUACUUGGAUAACUGUGGUAAUUCUAGAGCUAAUACAUGCAAACAGAGCUCCAACCGGAAACGGAAGGGGCGCUUUUAUUAGAUCAAAACCAAUCGGUGGCGGUUUCCGUCAUCGUACAACUUGGUGACUCUGAAUAACUUUAAGCUGAUCGCACGGUCUCGCACCGGCGACGCAUCUUUCAAAUGUCUGCCUUAUCAACUGUCGAUGGUAGGUUCUGCGCCUACCAUGGUUGUAACGGGUAACGGGGAAUCAGGGUUCGAUUCCGGAGAGGGAGCCUGAGAAACGGCUACCACAUCCAAGGAAGGCAGCAGGCGCGCAAAUUACCCACUCCCGGCACGGGGAGGUAGUGACGAAAAAUAACGAUACGGGACUCAUCCGAGGCCCCGUAAUCGGAAUGAGUACACUCUAAACCCUUUAACGAGGAUCAAUUGGAGGGCAAGUCUGGUGCCAGCAGCCGCGGUAAUUCCAGCUCCAAUAGCGUAUAUUAAAGUUGUUGCGGUUAAAAAGCUCGUAGUCGAAUCUGUGUCCCGCGCCGCCGGUUCAUCGUUCGCGGUGUUAACUGGCGUGCCGCGGGACGUCCUGCCGGUGGGCUUAGCUCGAGAGGGCGGCCCAACUCAAUCCCGCCGCGGUGCUCUUCAUUGAGUGUCGAGGUGGGCCGGCACGUUUACUUUGAACAAAUUAGAGUGCUUAAAGCAGGCUAAAACUUCGCCUGAAUACUGUGUGCAUGGAAUAAUGGAAUAGGACCUCGGUUCUAUUUUGUUGGUUUUCGGAACCCCGAGGUAAUGAUUAAUAGGAACGGAUGGGGGCAUUCGUAUUGCGACGUUAGAGGUGAAAUUCUUGGAUCGUCGCAAGACGGACAGAAGCGAAAGCAUUUGCCAAAAACGCUUUCAUUGAUCAAGAACGAAAGUUAGAGGUUCGAAGGCGAUCAGAUACCGCCCUAGUUCUAACCAUAAACGAUGCCAGCUAGCGAUCCGCCGACGUUCUUUCGAUGACUCGGCGGGCAGCUUCCGGGAAACCAAAGCUUUUGGGUUCCGGGGGAAGUAUGGUUGCAAAGCUGAAACUUAAAGGAAUUGACGGAAGGGCACCACCAGGAGUGGAGCCUGCGGCUUAAUU